UUGCACAGUGAAUACCCAAGUGUGCUUUAUAGUUUCCUUGGCUUUGACCCUGUGCUAGAGCAUUACCUGUUGUUCUCCUCUGCAUUGAAAGGAAUAUUUAUCCUUUUAAAUGUAUUCUGAAAGCCAGCACAUUA
rnacentral:snoRNA from 1 species